rnacentral:rRNA from 1 species
GAGUUAGCCGAUGCUUAUUCCUCAAAUGUAGUCAGAACUUCUUCGAUGAGAAAAGGAGUUUACAACCCUAAAGCCGUCUUCCUCCACGCGGCAUUGCUACGUCAAGCUUUCACUCAUUGCGUAAGAUUCAUCA